rnacentral:lncRNA from 1 species
GUUGUCUUCCUAACCGGUGUCGGAAGUCUUUUUAGAGGCCGGGGGUGUUCGGUAGGAACUCUCCGUUUCAGUCGGGACGAAGCCCUUUAGGUCUUUUGGUGCGGUUCAUCCUUCAUCUGUUCCCGUUGUAGUUCGUCAUCCUUCCUUUUUAAUUUUCCUCCUCUUCUCAGAGUGAGGGCCCUCCUCCCGCUUUUCACGGGGUUGCAUAGAAGCGAGGAGGUGCCGCUGAGGGGCUUUUUCCUUUCGUCCGAUCUUGUUGGGCGG